rnacentral:lncRNA from 1 species
UGUGAAUGUGAGCAUGGAAGCAAAGCCUCUUAGAAGUGUUCCCUCUUCACACAACAACAUCUAUGGGGAAGGAAGUGGACCCUAUAAGAAGAAGAAAAGUGUUGUUUUUGUUGCUAUUCACACUGAAACAAAACCAGAAGCAAUAAUAAGUAACAACACUCCGAUCCAAACACCAAGUUAUUACCACAAGUUCUGUCUUUGUACUGAGCCUCAAAGGGGUGAGCUUUAUCAUCAAGUUCUUAUCUUUAACCACUUUGCAUGUAUUCCCAACCUAUAUGUCAUGUUUCUGAAUAUAUUUGUAUAUAUAAAUAUCAUGAUUAGAAGAUAAGCUUGACGAAAUGGUAACGUUGUUGCAGAGAGAAGACUGCGACGUACAUUUACCUUCCUCAUACCCGAUACUAAGUCGAUGUCUCGUGCACUAGGUCACCCUUUAUAUAAAUAUCAUGAUUUGGGUUUCUAAUCUUGCCAUGUAUUUAUAAUGUGAUAUCUAUAUUAGGAGGUAAAGUCUUUAAAGUUGAAUGUGAAAAAUAUUUAUACUAAUUGCAAGGUAAUGGGUCCAUACAUGGUCUUUUGAAUGAGAUUUGGGUGUGGGGUUUAUCAAAUAACUAGCUUUUGUGGUCAAUGGUAAGGUUAUUGUACUGUGACCCGGAAUCGAAAGUCAUGGGUUCAAAUCGUGGAAAAAGUCUGUCUGUUUAUGUGAGUUAUAUCGUGCAUAUUUACCCUCCUUAGACUCCAUUAGGUAGGGAGUAUGAGUCUCCUACACUAUGCCCUUUGGAUUGAGUUUUUGUUUAGUAGAGUAAUUUUCUUGUAGAUUUCAAUUUCAAUUAAUGUAAGAAACCAAUUUUGUGAUUUUGAUAUGUUAAAAAGAUAGGCUAAAUUUCAAGGCUUUUUGAUUCUAUAACUAUAUGUGACUUUUAUAAGGGAAGAUAAUGUUUUUAU